AGUUUGGGAGCAAACACUCCUCUGCGCGGGGAAUGUCAGUCCUCCAGCGAGGGAAUCUUGGCGCCGAGAGAGCCCAGGCUGGACCUCCCGAGGCGGCAGCCUAGUAGUCGGGCCAGGAGGCGAGAAGAACAAACUAGACCUAGAUUGAGGCGCUUAUUGUUGAGAGAGACGGGGCGAGAAAGUGAGGCCAGACUACAGUGGUGGCGGUAACGCUGGAAGAGAAUGGAGUGCCGGCGCUGUGGGGUUCGGCAAGCUGGCUCUGCAAGAAGAAAGAGGGAGCAGAAAAGCAUAAGGAGAGGAGUAUGAAUGCUGAGAGUUAUCUCAAGGGGAAUUGGCACUCCCAUAAUCCUAAUAUGUGGUGAGAAGCUGUGAGGUGAGGCAUCCGUAGUUGACUGAUAGAGAGAGAUAGUGAGAGAGAGAGAAGACAACCAGGGGGAAGAGGGAGAAACAGCCUCCUCACCCAGCAGGGAACCUGAGGCGGGUUCCAUCCCAGUGUACUGGCUGGCAUCAUGACGCAAGCCGAAGACAGACUCCAAACCAACUGAGCCACCCAGGCACUCCCACUACCCUGUUUAAAUCCCUUAGUAGCUCUUCAUUACCUUCAGCCUAGUCUGGCCCCCUUCAUAUUCUCAGGAAACCCAUCAGGUCUUCUUCCCUUGCUUACUUUCCCAGCCUCCCCUUUCCACUUCUCCCUUUUCCACCUCCUCUUCCUUUCUAACUUGCUUUCUACUUACUACAUACAUGCACAGUCUGAAUUGGCCACUCUGAAAUAUGUUCAGGUCUGUGAAAAUGCAUUUCCCCUCAUGUAUAAUAUCUUUCUUCUGUUAGACACCCUUUCCUCCUUGUCAGCUGGCUGGCUCUUGCUUGAGGUCUCAGAAUAGACAGCAUUUUCUCCAGAAAAAUGUCUUUGAUUAAAUUCCUCUGCCCAAGUUAUAUCAGCACCCCUAAUAUGUGCUCCCAGAGCACUCUAUCCUUUCCUUAACAUAGCACUUUACCACAUUCUAUAAUUGCCUGUUUAUGUAUCAUACUUUUCUCUAUCCUGCACCAUCUAAUAUGUGGCUCUUAAACGAUAAAUUAUAACUUAUUGUGACUGAGAAAAUGAGUUCCUAACUUUAUUUAAUUUAGUAAGCUUCAAUUUUAGAAAAUAAUAUUCAAAUCAGUUAUUGUAAAAAUAUAUUUGGAAUUAGUUGUAUAUGUGAAUCUACUUUUUCAACUCUAAGUUUAUUAAAUCUAUAUACAGGUCUAAAUAUAAAUAAGAAGUAAGCAUCUUAAUUGAGAUGUCUUCUAGUAUAACAUAUUCUCUGUAUUUCAAAGACUUGGUGCAAAAUAAAGAAUG